rfam:Gossypium arboreum cultivar AKA8401 contig_36507_5, whole genome shotgun sequence.
AACCCAUAGUGAGGGAACCUUCCAAUAAAUCCUUAUAUCUCUACCAUGCAUCAUAUAAAGUUUCCAAAUCCAUCUGUACGAAGGAAGAGAUAUCAUUCCUUAGCUU